GAAAAGAAGAAAUAGUAGAUGCAUCCUUUUCAGAUUACAAUGCAAUAAAAAUUACAUUCAAUAAUGGAUAAUGCAAAAAUAGGUUAAAAUUAAUUGGAAACCAAAUUAUCUAAUUCUUAAAAAAUAAGUGGGCCAAAGAACAAAUCAUAGGAAGAAUAGAUAAUUUCAUUAAAAAAAAUGAAGAGACAACAUGCCAAAAUUUAUGGUACAUAGUCAAAGUGUACUUAGGGGAAAUUUUAAAAUUCAAUAAAAUAGAGAUAUAGCAGAUCAAUGAACUGGGCAUACAACUUUUUAAAAGGCUAGAAAAAGAACAAAUUAAAACUCUGCAAUUAAAUACCAAAUUGAAAAUCCUGAAAAUCAAGAGAUUAAAAUAAUUGAAAGAAAAUCAUUGAACUAAUAAACCUAGAAGUAGGUUUUAUGGAAAAAAAUAAAAUAGAUAAAUCAUUGCUAAUUUUUUUUAAAGGAAAUAAAACCAAAUUGCUAGUCAAUGAAAAGGAAAUUAAGACAAUUGUUAGGAACGGUUUUGCCCAAUUAUAUGCUAAUUUAACAAUUUAAAUGAAAUGGGUGAACAGCUACAAAAAUACAAAUUAUUCAGAUGAACAGAAGAAGAAAUAAAAUAAUUAAACCCAAUCUUAGAAAAAGAAAUUGAAAAAAAUCAUCAUAGCACUUCCUAAGGAAAAAUUCCCCAGGGGCGAGGUGGAUUCACAAGUAAAUGCUACCAAACAUUUAAAGAAUAAUCCCAAUACUAUAUAAACUAUUUAGAAAAAUAGGCGGCAGAAUCCUACCAAAUUCCUUUUAUGACACAAAUAUAGUAUUUAUACCUAAACUAGGAAGAGCCAAAACAGAGAAAAGAUAUUAUAAGACUAAUUUACUUAAUGAAGAUUAAUGCAAGAGAUUACAGCAAUCACAAGGACCCUAUACUAUAACCAGGUGGAAUUCAAUAUUAGGUUCAAUAUUAGGAAAACUCAACAUAAUUGACCAGAUCAAUAACAAAACCUUCAAAAGCUAUAUAAUGAUUAUCUUAGUAAAUACAGAAAAAGCCUUUGAUAAAAGACAACACCCAUUCCUAUGAAGAACACUAUAAAGAGCAUAGGAAUAAAUUUUACCUUAAAAAUAAUAUUUAUCUAAAACCAUCAGUAAACACUAUCUGUGGUGGAAAUAAGCUAGAAGAUUUCAGGGGUGAAGCAAGGGUGUCCAUUAUCAUCACUAUUCAAUAUAGUACUAGAAAUGUUAGCUAUAACAAAAGAAGAAAAAGAAAUUGAAGGAAUUGGAAUAGGCAAUGAGGAAACUAUUUCUCUUUGCAGAUGAUAUGAUGGCAAACUUGGAGAAUCCUAAAGCAUCAACUAAAAAACUACCUGAAAUUAUUAACAACUUUGGUAAAGUUGCAGGAUACAAAAUAAAACUGCACAAACCAGCAGUUUUUCUAUAUUGCAACAACUCAUUCCCAAUUUAUAAGGACACCAGUUUCCCCACUUUAAAAAAGAGAGACAUAGUUGAACUGAGAACUGGGAAAUCAGAUUCCUUUUUGUCUCUGAUUGGCUAUCUGACACUCAAAUAUCGCCUCUCUCUGUCUGUGCCUUACCUCCUUCAUUUGUUUGGGAUUAUAUCAAGGGGCUGUGGAGUUGCCUGCACAAAAAGUUCAUUAAACUGCUCACCUAGGGAUUUGUUCAUGGACCUAAGAACUCUUCUAAGCUUGUACCCAAGUAAUCAGUCUAGAUAAGCUCUUAGAGGAGUAUCCCUAAGCCAUCAGUUGCAAUUCUUACCUUAUGACCCACUUUAAUGUCUGGGAUAAACAAUAGGUUUUAAGGAUAACUUUCCCCUUUAUCUUAGAAGUGUUUUUUGCAAGGGGAGAAGUGUUUUUUGCAAGGGGAGAUGGGACUAGAUUACCUUAUUCAUGUGUGAUUUGUCUUAGUGCCAUGGCUGAGGACUUUUCCAGAGGUGAGACUCUUACUGGGUCAUUUCCCUCCAUGGGCAAGUAUGCUAUGGCCCAAAGGAAGGAUGAAACUUUUUAAAAGUUCGAUUCUCAAGGUAAUUUAGUUUCUACACUAAAGGAAGGAGUCUCUGAUCCUAGUGCUCUAAGGAAUACAAAGUAGAACUUGGCGUUCCCUUUCCUAGACACAAGUAUACUCCCUAAGACAGAAGGAGCUACUGCUUGUCUUGAGAGUAAUUUUCUGGUUAUCCCAGGAAAAUGCUGAGCAUCAUGGUAGUUCCCACCUCUUUGUAAUCCUCAGGAUGAACAGAAGGGCUCUAUCACCCAUAAACUCCUGAGUCCCCACCCUGAGGACUUUGCCAGCUACCUGGCUCCAUCUGGCUGCACUUUCUGGACUUUGAAAAGAAUAGAUUGCUCUGACUUUUCAUGUUCCCUAGCUCUCUGUGCUAAGGGUCACUGAUUCUUUACCUUUCAUCUUAGCCAACUCUGCCAGCUCUGCCUGGCUGAAUUUAAUCACUCUGGAACCACAGUCCAGUAAAGUAUGCAAAACAUUAGUGGUCAUUUUCUUUUAAUGCUUCCCAAUUCCAGUUGUCACUUAGAUCCUAGUUGUACAAUGUAAUGCUGACAUUUGUCAACGUUUCUUACAGGUAGCUGCUCUGCUGAGAUAAAUGAAGGAUUCCUAGUUCAGACCUACUCUUUGAUCCAGUGCUACAGCUUUCUCCUGGAAGUCUGUCUUGUCCUCCUUUUUCCUUGAUUCCCUCUGGCAUGCCAAGCUAUUUUGAGGCAAAGCUGCAAAGUGCUGAAUCUAACAAACCUAUUUCUCAGUCCUUCCACUCAUAGGAGUUUUCUGGCAGAAAAGCUUGAUGAAUCUACAAAUAUCCCCUCUGCUGUAGUGGCCCUACUGCUGAUUCUACCAGGCAGGUUAUGGGUGCCAAUUUGUGGAGCUGUUGACAAGAUAAAUUUGUAUUAGAGGGUAGCAUUGAAUUGGAUUAAAACAAACAAAACUCUCUUGAAACAAAAUGUUGGCCAUUCUAAGGAUGUCUUUCAUUAGCUUAUGCUUUCAACAAAUAGACACUCAGAUAGGAAGUAUAUUAAAUCUGUAUUUUCUAUGCCCUUGGAACAAAGAGCAUUUAUGGGAAAGAUAUCAGCCUCUUCUCCCAACCUUUGGUGCUGACUUCACCGUGCUGGGAACAUUGUUCAAAACUUGCCUAAUAAUAAGAACCUCAUUUUAACCUGGAUCAUCUUUGUCCUCCCUCUAAGGAUAAAUAGGGUGAUUGAUGAAAUGGCCAAAAUGGCCAGAACUUCAGGCUCCCAUGACACUUGAAUUCCCCUAUUCCAAAGACCUAUUGUUAGCUCUUGAAUUCACUUCCUAAUCCAAAGAGUGGGGCGUUAGGUUUUUUCUGCUGCCUGAUAAGGUGGAAAAGGUUAUUAAAAAGGAAAGGAAAGAGUUAUUAGAUUAGAUGCUACCAUAGACAAAAGGAAGAAGAAAAUUGAGGUUGUAAGUAGCCUAGAUGCAAAUCCCACUGGAGUAUUGCUUCAACUGUUCCCUUUGCUUAGUGUUGUCUUGAGAUAUUUCUUUGGAAGGAGAGAGAAUGGCAGGAAGGAAUGAAGUGUGACAGGAUCUGCUGUGACCUCACAGACUCACCUGGAGCGCUUUUCCCCAUUAUUCAAACACUGUCAAUUGAGAAAUGCUUAUGUCAAAGUGAGACUUAAUACACAGUGGGUUUUUUUUUUUAAUAAGACUUUGAAGGUGGUAAUAUCUCUUCUUGGGCAGAAUCUACCCAUUCCUUGAGUAUAUUAAUAAUAUAUUAGCAGAGGCACCCCUGGAUUGCAUAUAGAUUUUGCAAGGGGUUAUUCACAUGCUCUUGGUAACUGGGAGAUGCCAGCAGCAGAUAGAUUGCUCUGACUGGAAGCUAAUUAGAGCCAGGUGUGAGAAUGAGAUAAGAGUUAGCUGGUACACUAUGCGAUUGCACUGAUUGCCUGGAAUGUUGAGUGCUUCAGACAUUAUAGUAACAGUCUUUUCAAAUGUAGAGAACUUUUGAUUAUUCUGGGACCAGUUACCUAGACCUGUGUUGUCUUAUUCUUCUAGCUUCCCACUGCUUGCUGUUUUCCUACAUAUUAACACCUCUACCAUUGUCUGGGUAGGAACCAAGAAAAUAACCCUUUGAUUUAAUUGCAAAUAGUUUAAUAUUGAAACUAUUAACUACAGUGGCAUUUUACAGUAACUUUGGAAGUUUUUUAUCCAUAAAAUCCUGUGUGAAAAACUUAACCAAGGGGGAACUGAAUUUAUACUAUUUGUUUACAUGAGGCUACUUAUUUAGGGAGUUGGGGGAUAGUUAUUGAUCCCUUUUACUCUGGAUGGCAGUCUAAGACUAUUUUGCCAUCUCCUUUUCAAAUCCUCUUUUUUUCCUAUUUAUUUCUAUCCCCUAGUACUCACUAUUUAUUCUCAGCUCCACUGGGGGCAUCCAGUGCUAUCAGCAGUAGAUAGGCAAUGGGUUUCAUCCACUGUGUGUCACUGAUCUUUGCUAGAAAUUUUUCAGAGAUUUUUUUCCUUGGUGCCAUAUACCACAACUAUCAAGUACAGGGUAUUCUAUUAGUAGAAAGCAUAUCUUCCCUUCUUAAGGUGCAAGGUUGAAUUAUGAAGCCUCCCUGAGGUCUGAUAUUUUAUUUAGGAAAGAUUCAAAAUGUUGGAUAAGGAAUAUAUAUAUAAAUGAUUAUAUAUGCUGUUUUUCUCUUUGUAAAGAAUAAAAUUUUGUUUUUGAAGUUACUUAAUAAAUGUCAUUGCAUG
rnacentral:lncRNA from 1 species